rnacentral:misc_RNA from 1 species
AACGCACCUUGCGCCCCUUGGAAUUCCAAUGGGCAUACCUGUUUGAGUAUCAUGAAAUGUUUUCAAGAAGUGACUUGUUUGUCAUUUUUCUUGGAUUUGGAUGUCUGCUGUGAAAGCUCAUCCUAAAUGAAUUAGCUUUGAGAGAAAGUUUUCUCAACUUUGGCAUAAUAAUUUUGUUUUUGCUUUGGUUGAAGAGAAAGUAAAAUCAAGCUUCUAAAAAAAAGAAAGAAAGAAGGUUCCUCUCUUUGUAGCAGAAGAGGGUUGUUAGCCAUCUAUCUUUGUUUUCGAAAUUUGAUCUCAAAUCAGGUAGGACUACCUGCUGAACUUAA